rnacentral:rRNA from 1 species
GACGAACGCUGGCGGCGUGCUUAACACAUGCAAGUCGAACGGUGAACCCGGAGCUUGCUCCGGUGGAUUAGUGGCGAACGGGUGAGUAACACGUGAGUAACCUGCCCUUGACUCUGGGAUAACUGCGGGAAACUGUAGCUAAUACCGGAUACGACCCUCGGCGGCAUCGCCAGGGGGUGGAAAGAAUUUCGGUCAAGGAUGGACUCGCGGCCUAUCAGCUAGUUGGUGAGGUAACGGCUCAACAAGGCGACGACGGGUAGCCGGCCUGAGAGGGUGACCGGCCACACUGGGACUGAGACACGGCCCAGACUCCUACGGAAGGCAGCAGUGGGGAAUAUUGCACAAUGGGCGCAAGCCUGAUGCAGCAACGCCGCGUGAGGGAUGACGGCCUUCGGGUUGUAAACCUCUUUUAGUAGGGAAGAAGCGAAAGUGACGGUACCUGCAGAAAAAGCACCGGCUAACUACGUGCCAGCAGCCGCGGUAA